GAGUGACUCAUGCUGACUCUCUUAGAACAGAAAAAGCUGCCCAUGCAUUAGGGGACAUUUAUAUUCCUUGUCACACUGCAUUUUGUUAUACCAUGGGGGGAUGACAAGAAUAGAACACAGCACAUUUUGCAGCUGAAUAAGCAAACUGUCCAAUCCCAAUCAUUUGUGCUCUUAUUUCUCAUGGACUAUUUAUGACUUUUGUUCUGCAUCAUUAAACAUUAACCAAAACUCAACUUAUCUUCCGGCCCACAAAAGAUCCAGAACGCUUUAUCAGUGACCAGUCUCCCCAUUGAGGCCAUAAAAACCUUCCUCUCUCAGACACUUUGCCUCAAAUGACAAGCCUCUUGUAGUGAUCUAGAAUCUUCUUUUAUUCAGCGCACUGACUCUAUCUGUCUACUUUUUCUUUCCUGUUGACUGUUCCCAAAGCAGACCAGAAGAGAGGCAGUAUUCUGGGAAGGCACAGGUAGACAGACCCUUCGCUUACCCUCACGGCUGUUACACAACUAUUCCCAAGUUGUCCUUCUCUGACUAUGGUGUGCUAACUUUUUAAUUCAUGUAUAAUUCUGGUGGCUGGUCCUUUAUAUAAACUGGGAGUUGAUAGUUUUGCAAAUGCCCUUUGGUAUUAAUUGACUAUUUACUAUGUGUUCCAAACUAUUCCUUAGAAGACAUGGAAGAAAACUACAAAGGAUCCUUCUCGCAAGUCCCCAGACAAUAGCCAGGAUUCUCCAGGUCAACACCCUCUUCCAGGCUUCAAGCAAGUCAUUGGCUUCAGCAUCUGUGAAACCCAAGGAAUGUUAUGUAAUUGUCUCAUUCUCGUGCAUAUGUAUGUUCUUCUAAGGAGAAGGCUCCCAGUGUUCAUCAGAUUCCAAAGUAAUCUAUGAGCUGAAAAGGGUAGAAGCCCUGCUCCAGACUGCCUCCGCUGAGAGCCAGGCAUUGCUCUGCAGGGAUGAAGCUCCACUUGGAUCCUGCCCAUGGCCAGCUGAAGCCCCUUCUGCCUCUUGGAAGUCCUGGAGCCACUUAUUUUAAGAACAUGGCCUGUAGUGUGGAUCUUCAACUGCUGAUUGCAAUGGAUUCAACGUCCCUUGACCGGGCAGUGUGCCAGGGAAGCUGCAUUUCCUCCGCAAAGGCUGGCAGAAAAACUUAGGCCCCAACUUAACAGAAAACACGAAGGAGCCAGAGUCAGCUUUCCUUUUACAGUCAGAGGCUCCCCACACUGGUGGUGAAUCCUCAGCACAGGCGAAAAACAGGAAGGGAUAAAAAUGAAGGAAGUCUCUUGGCCAGUGGUCUUGAAGUGUUCCUUCCACACGGGUCCACUUCAGCCUGCCUGUGGGCAUCCUCUCCUUUCUGCAGUGGUUACUUGCAGUGCAUCUCAGCCUUUCUACUGGAGUUCCAUUCUCCACUUAGGGCCAAGCAGCCUGUCUAACCCACGGUGCACACAGGAAUGCAAAAUAUCCCCUGCUGUGUGCUGAUGCCUCAUGCAGCAGGAAGCAGUCCCAAGGUGUCCUGAAAUUAACUUACCAAGUCGCAUGCAGCAUUUCCUUCCUUUUAUUUUCGUUUGGAAAGAGACUGGAAUGGAAUGGAAUAGACAGACUAGACUAGAACAUAUCUGAGUCAUUGUGUGGUAAUGACUUCUUGAAACUUUUGUUUCAGUGUGUGUGGUGGGGUAAGGGGGGAUCACAAUUUAAAAUGUUGCCUCUCAGUCAGAAAACAACUUGGAAGGAUGAAUCUCAGGCCAUCCACGGAGCUUGCACAUGAUGUCCAGGGCCUUCUGAAGGGCUGUGAAGUUGCAGGGUAAACAACAACAAAAGCAGCGGGACAGAGGGCCUUGAUUCAGGUCCAGGAGGUGCUGGGUCCUCAGUCAAGUCCCACCGUCCCUUUGAGCCUUUCUUCUCAUCUGUAAAAUGAGGAUAAUCAGUCUCACUUCGCCUGCCUUGAAGGGUUGUUGUGCGGCUCAAACGGAACAGUGUUUGCUAAAUGUGGUGCACAUCAUAGGACAAGGCUUAUGUAAGGCAUUUUGGAAUUUUUAUUUAUAGUGGGAAGUUCAAACCAGGAAAAGAAGAGAUGGAUAAUAGCGUUGUUCAGGGUAGGUUGCACAGGGUGCUAUGGUUUGAAUGUGUCCCCCAGAAAUCAUGAGUUGGAAACUUAACCCACAAUGCAAUGGUGGUGGGAGGUCGGGCCUAAUGGGAGGAGUUGCAUCACGACAGCUCCACCCUCAUGAAUGGAUCCAUGCCAUUAUAAAAAAGCCAGACCCUGCGAGUUCACCCUCUUGCUCUCUCUCACCUUCUCUUUGCCAUUUUGCCGUGGAAUGAAGCAGCAAGAAGGCCCUCGUCAGAUGCCAGCCCCUCAGUCUUGGACUUCUCAGCCUCCAAAACUGUGAGAAGUAAAUUUCCUUUCUUUAUAAAUUACUUAGUCUGUGUAUUCUGUUAUAGCAACACAAAACAGAUUAAGACAGAGAGUGUCAAAGAUCCCUCAAGUCACCCCACGUGGCAGUCUCGGCAGUCUCCCAGUUCUCCUGCAUGUCCAGCCAGAUGAGACUAUCCAGGUAAUGCCUCAGGAAUCCUCCUACCGCAGUGAUUCUAAGCAACACAAGCAAAGGAAGUUUCAAGUUUGUUUUGUUUUUAAGUGUUCUUGACCCUAGGGCUGGUAUUUGAUAGCACCUGAAUGUCUAGGGCUGACCAGUUCUUUCUGGCUCACUCCACCCCUGCAGAGCCGUAGGAAACCCAUGCAACUUCCUCAUUGCCCAUGAGGCAAGGCAAGUGGUAGCGCACGCCUCUUAUGGAGUGAACACUACUGUUCUUUCUACUUCAUGGGAAGGUCUUGCAAAACAUUGGUUCUGUCUUCUUGCAUGAAUCAUAGACUAAAGAAUGAAGAAACACUUCUGAGUAACAAACAAGGAAGAAAGAAAAGGAAGCAAGCUGUGGUGAUGCGUUCUUGGAACAUAACUCCAAGUCAGUUCAUAGGAGCGAAAUCAACGUGUAGAUCUUUGUGUAAGGUUUUGCUGCUAAAGGACAAAAAAAAAAAAACUUUCCUUUUCCUUUUUUUUCUGAGUAAAAAGAUAACAGACACUCAUAAAAAUCAAAUAACGAAAUUAGAUCCCAAGAAGAGGACAAUGUAAGCAAUUUAAAGCACAUUUUCCCAAACUUGUGUCUUUUACUAAACUAAAAGAUUGAUACACAUACAUGGGCACAGUAUAGAUGUCAUUUUCCACUCCAUGUUUUCUUACCCAUCCACAUGACGGAGAGCUUUAUCCAUGAUGGUGGAUGAAAAUCUAGAACACUGCUAUUAGUAGUAGCAUUCUGUCAUAAAAAUGAAGCAGGACUUAUUAGUCAAUCUCACUGAAGGAUGUUUAAGUUGCUUCUGAAUUUUUGUUUCUAUAAAAAAAAAUGCCAGGAUAAACAUUCUUAUAUAUUCAUUAUUGUGCAUUUGUUCAGUUAUCUCCCAGGAAUAAGUUUCUGAGAGAAGAAUGACUGGGUCAAAAACUAUCAGAAUGUUCAACGUUAAUGUAUAUUGCCAAAUUGCCCUGCAGAAAUGGGGCAUCAGGUCCUACCAUCCCAGAAUUGCACAAGAGAACCCAUCUCUCCACAUCUAACCAACAGUGGUUACUGUCAAUCUUUUCACCUGUUUUCCAAUCUGAUAAGUAACAAAUAAUAUGUAUUUGUUGUUUUAAUUGCAUUUCUUUGAUUUCAGUGAGAUGUUAAAUUACUAAUUGUUAUCAAUGCAAAUAUACUACUAGCAGUGACAAUUGCUAAUCUGCACUGAAAAAUUUCUCUGCACCAGGCACUUUACUAAGCCCUUUACAGAAUUAUUUUCUUUUAUCCUCACAAUAACCCCUCAAGGCAGGGAAAAUAAGUAUCCCUAUUUUACAGAUAAAAACAAAGGCUUAGAGAGGUUACUUUGCUGAAGGUCAUGGAGCUAGUAAAUAGUGAAUCCAGAACUCAGUCCAGGUAGAUCUACCCCCAAAGCCCACACUGGGUAGCAAGCAUUAUCCUUCCAUUUAUUUCCAUACACACACUCACUAAUUCUGUGUUUCCUCUACGUAUGUUUCCACAGGCGAGUUUUAUGUCUUUAUGACCUUUGCUCAUUUUUUUUCAAUUGGAGUGCUUAUGUUUUUCUUAUUAAUUAGCAAUAACUUUUGGCUAUUAAGAAUAUUAAUUGCCAUUUUUAAAUCUACUUUUUUCUCUAUGAAAUGUAAUUAUAUACAAUUUACAACUUUCACUUCUGUUUGUGAUUAGUGCAAUGAUGUGAGUAAUGACUUCAAUAAGCCCUGAAGCCUGAUGUCGUACUCCUCAGGUAUAGGUGAGCGCAAGAAGCUUAGCCAAGCAGAUGGGGUUAGAUUUUGCUGGUAGCGCAGCCAUGGACAUUAAGAGGGUUGGAUAAAAGUGCACACAGCAACAGGAAUGGGGGAUGAAGUGACAGAGAAAGCUAGCAGACAGGGUCGCACAGUUGCAAUUUCCCCUUCGUGAGCCUCUAUAGGAAAGGGGUCUCUUUUUCAGUUUUUCUCACCUUGCGGGACUUUUUCUGACACUUUCCCUUACUUCUGCCACCAUAUCCCAAGAACAGGAGUUUUGUCACACAGUACAGUUUUAGGGCUUCAAAAUCUCUUCUUUUCAUUCCAAAAUUUGAAUUAAUCCUUUAUCAAAGCAAAGAUUAAGCUUUGACCACAGACCAUCUUCCCUAAAGCAGGACAGGUGCCAAGGGGGACAUGGGGGAUUGGGGCCCAGCUUGGGUCCCACCAGGCACUGACUGGCAGUGUGACCAUAAGGAAGUUGUUUUUCCAUCCCCUGGCAUUGGUUUUCUCACUAGUAGAAUGGGGAUGAUACAGCCAUGUCACAGAUGGCUUUGAAAUUAUAUAAGAAAACGUUUACCAAGCACCAAUGCCUGUGUGACCCUGAGUGUUUAGAAGCUGGGCCUCUGCCGCCACCGGUGUCUUUAGAGAUGGGGACAUCCAAGUCCUCUAGGGCUUUCACUGGAGAAAUGCGAAACACUGCUAGGACUCAGCUACCCUGCUACUAAACUAGCACUUCAGUUGACGUUUCUCCAAGAUUGUCCCAAGAGACACUUCCAGAGCUAAACGGCAGGACAGCAAGACAUUUCCUCGCUCCAGUUGCCCUCUUCUCCUCUGUGUGGGCACCAAAGCCCUUCACCUGCUGCCUCAUCCUAGAAUCCACAAUUCCUUGCCUCAGUGACUAUUGUUGAAAUAUCUGUCGUCCCCAAACCCUCUAUCUUUGGCUUGGAUUACACAGGAUAUAGUUAUACUACAGAGUUAUAGUAUAAAUGAAGCAAUACCAGGAUUCAUUCAGAGAAGAUUCCCCAGAACAUCAGAACUCAUUGGAAGUAAUAGAUGAGAAAGGCAAUCCUCCUAAUUUCCUACAAAGACCAAAACAAUCCCUCCUUUGCUGAUGCCGGCUAGUUAGUUCCCAGCCAUCCCUCUCCACCCCCAGCACGCCCCUCCUUUGGCCUUGGGGUGGGUUUAUUGUCAUAGCACCCUUCGUUUGCAGAGCAAUGUAGAUGUAGAGGAAAUGGAGUUAUGUGCAUGGAGCCCCACUCUUUGCCAAGCACUGUAAACACACCUCAUCCUCACAGCAGCCCAAUGAGAUCCCUAUCAUCACCUACUUAACAAAAAAGGAAGCCAAGAUCCAGAAGUCUGAACAGUUCCCAAAGCCACAUAACUGGCCAAUGACCAAAGUGCAACUCCUACCCAGCUGCAUGUGCCUCCAACGCCCCUCGUCGCCCCGCCAUGCACUCAUCCUUACAAAGCACUUUCACAUGUGUUUUCUUCUUAGUCUGCCCCCAAAUCCUUCAAAGUAGCACAGCUCCCUUCCCACUGUCUCCAUUUAUUGAUGUGGGGCUGAAAGAAGCUGCAGAAUGGAUUCUUAUCCUCACUGAGUGGCAUGUGGUGCCUCUGGAGCCAGGACCCCAGGCAUGGGCCUGCACCCCACCCAGGUAGCCUCCUACAGCCAGGCCUGGGAUGGAGAGCAGCCACCUGAGAGCUCCAAAGUCCUCCACUGAAGGAAGACAAAAAUAUUUACCUUGUUUCUGUGAUCAAAAAUAUUCUACUUAGAAAUACUUCUGGAUAUUUCAACAAGAUCUAAGUCCACAUUGACCAACUCACUGGGGAAUCCUGACUUCAGGGGCCCUGGACCCCCAACCCUCCUCCCCAAGAGGAUCACUUAGCUUCAGCAAGAAGGUGCUGCUGUAUAGGCCUUCAGCCCCAGCUGGAGGUCAUCUCCACAGCUCCUUUUACUUGUAAAAGUUUAUCAGUACAACCAGCCCCUGAGGGCCACAGAAUUAGAGGUAAAACCAAGCAUAGCUCUGAAGGAGGAAGUAUCGAACUGCAGCCAAAACAAAUGUUGCCUGAGACGAGGGAUUAGAAUAAAACUACAAGAAGAGCUGGCACAAUAAACACACUUACGCUGCAUUAUUCAAGGGCAUGAGGUAUGAAGGGCAGCUCACCUUGGAGAAUGCAAUCGUCUGGUCAGCUUGCAGCCAUUUUAAGCUGCAUUCAGUGAGGUGUCAUUAAGGCUUUGGAACAUUCUCACUGGUAUCAUAGACUUUUUGAACUCAAAAGGAUCUUUGAGACAAUCCAUUCCCAUCCUCAUAUCUAACAGUUGAUGGAACUAGUGUCCAAAUAAGUUCAAUGACUUACUCAAAGUUAUUUAGCUGGUCAGUAACAGAAAAGUGACCAGAAGUCAGGUGCAGAGCUUCAAUAACAUCAACACAGAUUGCCAAGCCCUCAAAGACACUGUUUAUGUGCACAUACACAGGCACAUGUAUACACGUGCAUAUGUGCACACAGACACAUACAUAUGUGAUGCAAAUGUAAGCACACAUGCACAUACAUACAUGCGCACGCAUAUACUCACAUACAUACAUGCGCACACAUAUACUCACAUACAUACAUGCACACACAUAUACUCACAUACAUACAUGCGCACACAUGCACAUGCAUACAUGCGCACACAUAUACUCACAUACAUACAUGUGCACACAUACUCACAUACAUACAUGCGCACACAUAUACUCACAUACAUACAUGCGCACACACAUACAUGCACACACAUGCACAUACAUACAUGCGCACACAUAUACUCACAUACAUACAUGCGCACACAUAUACUCACAUACACACUUCACUCAGACUCUACACAUCAUGUUUUUAUCAAGCCUUUCUGGGCAUCCAAGCAGGAUAUAACUUGGGUAACGUGGCUGAGCAUGCAGCUGACUGAGAGGCACACUGCACCGGGAGGGACCUUGCUUACCAUUAGCUUUAUAUUUAUACCUGUUGUUCCUUGACAGCCAGGCCAAUAACAGCACCGACCUAGUGGACUGUACUAGGUUUCCCAAACGACUGUGUGGGAAAAUGUUGACCAAGGGCUCUGAAUGGUGCCUGGUGCCUAACAGAUCCUCAUUCAUGUCCUAGAUGGGGCUGUGUCAUUUCUUACAAGGCAGGAAACAAAUGCAGUGUAAGGAGCAGGGCUUCUGUGGUCAGACCACCCUGGACCGGGACCCCUAUUCUGCUCUUAACUCUGGGCAGCUUGCCCACCCUUGCUUGGCUGUGGCACCCAUGUAUACAUGAGUUGUUGUCAGGAGUGAAUGAGGUGAUGGCACUGGUUGCCCAAUUGCCAGCAAAUAUGAAGUGCUCACGAACAGAAAGGCAAUCCAGGGUGCAACUUGCAUGUCAUAGAGAAUCACACCAGCCUACCUCUUCUUUUCCAAAAAUCCAGGUCUACAGUUUCCUCCUUGAGGGUGAUUUUUGUAAUCCUGCAGCACCAGGAUGUGUUGGCUGUGGCCUGGAGUCAAAGCUCCAGGAACUUCCGUAGAAGAAAAGUUUCUCCAAAACCCUUUCAAAAGUCACCUAAUCAGGAAGUCUCUGCAAAGGGAUUUGGAACUGACUUGGAUGGGUUCUUUCCUGGUAGACACUCAGCACUUGAUCUUCACUAUAUUACUCUCCACUUGUUGCUAAAUUCCUUUCUAAGCAUCUCAAGUCAUUUCAUCUAGGUUUGCUAUUCUCAACUCCAUCACAAUGGCCUGGGGAACAAUAAUUACCCUUGUCAGCUAAGACAGCAUGUCCACCCAGUAGGAACUCAAGAGCCUGCUGCCAGAAUAUCUUUCCUUCCACCCUACCCUAACCGUGAAGUGAGGCACCAACAUUCUUUAAGGAAUUCUGCUGAAGUCACAGUUUCCCAGAGGCUCAAUUUGAUGCUGGGGAGAGGAGUGGGACAAUCAUCCCCCUCCCACAUCACACAUUCUGGACACGAGCUCCUCUUCAGGGGCCAAGUGUGUGAGGCCAGAUUCCAUCAGGAGGAACAAGACAGAGACUUCGCAGGAUGGCCUGGUCCAAGGACAAACUCAGACCCCCUGAGGGUCUCACACACUUGUCAUGUGCCUGGUGAAAAAGCUCAUUGCCAUGGUCAGCCCUCAGAGCUAAAAAUAUUAGAAGCUAAAGUGGUAGAGAGACAGGAGAAAGAGCCACGUCAACUGAGGUGGGAAGGUUCCUGCCAGAAAGGGUUAGUGUCGAAAAAGCUCUGCACCCAUCGCCCUCACUGUACACACACACACACACACACACACACACACACACACACCCUUUGCUGAUGUGAAAUGGCAAAAUGGCUAGAUCAGACAUUUGGCCUAGACUGAGCAUCUUCAGUCUCAAACCACACACACCAUGGAAGCAGCCUCUGGUGAGGGCAUGUCACAAUUCAUUGACUUGUUGAGCCUCCCCACAGGAAAAAUAUAGAAAACUGCCAAGGAUGCAGCACCCAACAACAUAUGGCUCCCAUAAAUCACAUUCUUAUUCUCUAAAAUCUUCAUUAUUUAUGGAGCAAUGGUCCUAAGAAGACUUUUUCAGGAAAUUAAAUUCAUAUUGAAUUUAAUCCUGCCUGCAACUCUUAUUUUCCCAGUGAGGAAACAGCUACUGGGAGAUGAAGUAGCUUGACAAGACUACACUGCUGGAAAGAGAUAGAAGACUUUAAAAGAGACCACAAAGCUAUAGUAACCAAAACAGCAAGGUACUGGCAUAAAAACAGACUCAUACACUAAUAGAACAAAGUAGACAGCCCAAAAAUAAAUCUCCGCAUUUACAGCCAACUGAUUUUCAACAAAGGUGUCAAUAGCACUUACUGGGAAAAGGACAGUCUCUUCAAUAAAAGAUGCUGGAAAAACUAGAUAUUUAUAUGCAGAACAAUGAAACUAGAUGCCUAUCUCUGACCGUAUACAAAAGUCAACUCAAAAUGGAUAAAAAGUUGAAAUGUAAGACAUGAAACUAUGAAACUACUAGAAAAACAACAUAGGGAAAAUUAUUCAUGACACUGGAGUAGGCAAAGAUUUUUUGGAAAAUACUUCAAAAACACAGGCAACAAAAGGAAAAAUAGACAAAUGGGAUUACAUCAAACUAAAAAGUUUCCAUACAACAAAGGAAACAAUCAACACAGUGAAGAGACAACCUACAAAAUGGAAGAAAGUAUUUGCAAACUAUGCACCUGACAAGGGAUUAAUAGUCAUAAUACAUAAGGAACUCAUACAACUCAACAGCAAAAAUAAUAAUAAUAAUAAUCAUCAUCCAAUUUUAAAAUGGGCAAAGGGCCUGAAUAGACAUUUCCCCAAAGAAGAUUUACAAGUAGCCAGCAGAUAUAUCACAAAAUACUCAACAUCAUUAAUCAGGGAAAUGCAAAUCAAAACCACAACCAUAUACUGUCUCACCCCAGUUAGAAUGGCUAUUAUCGGAAAGACAAAAAGUAACAAAUGCUGGGAAGGAUGCAGAGAAAAAAGGAACUCUCUCAUACACCAUCAGUGGGAAUGUAAAUUAGUGCAGCCCUUAUGGAAAAUAGCAUGGAGGUUCCUCAAAAAAUUAAAAAUAGAACAAUUUUUAAAUUUCAAUAAAAAUUUAAAAUGUGAUCCAGCAAUGCCACUACUGGGUAUCUAUGCAAAGGAAAGGAAAUCAGCAUGUCAAAGAGCUAUCUGCACUCCCGUGUUCAUUGCAGCAUUACUCACGAUAGCCAAGAUUUGGAAUCAACCUAGGUAUUCCUCAGUGGAUGAAUGGAUGAAGAAAAUGUGAUACUGUAUCACAGGAACUUGUACAAGUUAACCUGUAUUCAACUGGUUUUAUUCUUUUUUAUGGCUGAAUAAUAUUCCAUUGCUUACAUACAAUCCUUAAAUGGCUUUUAAAAAUAGUAAAAGAUAAAGAGAACAUCGAAAAGGACCUACAAUUUGCUAUAAUUGACAUCAGCAUCAGGGUAAACCCUGCAGCCCUCAAACCGGUUACUGCUGAAUUGUGCAUUCCCCAUGGGAUCCCACACUGCUUCCAGUGCCACAGCCAGAUCCACACUAAACCCUUAACACAUGGAAAUGGAAUGCCAGGGAGGGAGCUGCUAAGCAGCACUAUUAAUGCCAACACUCUCUUCUUUACUCAGCUAUCAAUAUAAAUUGAAGUCGGUAAAACUGUGAGAUGCUUUCAAUUAAACAGAUGUAUGCUGACAUUUGUUUCCCCUCCCCCAAGGAAAUAUCUAACCUCUCUGUGGGAACUACCACAAUUCAUUCUAGCCUCAGCCCACCUCAUUCUAGCCUGAGCCUACUUCUCACCCUAAUCUUCCUCAUCUGGUUGUAACCUCAGCCCAACUCUCAUUCCAGCCUCUGCUGUGACCAGUUCUUUGUAGGUACAGCUCCUCAGCACCUUGACCCCAGCCCUCUCUGAUGUCUGCCAGGACCUCUAGGUGCUCACACAGGAGAAAUCUGGAAGUACAGGGGCCCUUGCCAAAUGGGAGAUGGAAUCAUGGAAAAGUCUUCACCCCUCCAGGGAAAAGCAGACAGCUCCUAAAUCCAUUUCUUAGGGCUCCUUGCUUCCCUCCCCUGCCUUCCUCUCCCUGCUCCUGACUUCUGCUCCCUGGCAUCAUUUCUCACAUAAGCUACCUGCAGCAGCCCCUCUCACGCUGUGUCUCAGGGAAACCCCAGCCAAGACAAAUCAUUUCACGCAGUAAAAUUUAAUGACCAUAGUUUUAGAAUCAACAAACAGGACACGGCAUCUUACAAAAGAUGUUUCUGUGCCAUUUCUCCUCCAGGGAGGCAGACAGGUGGGAAGACCUAGACAGAACAUUGAAUUGUACAGAAUUCCAGAGCAUCUCAUUAGUUUGUGUAAUUAGUCAGAGAAUUUGAAGUAAGGCUAUUCCCAAAAUCGGGGCUGGAUGGCUGCUGUACUUCUUCAUGAUGGUGAAAAUAAAGUUGAGUUUUACUUCCCUUAAGAGAGUGAGACGAAGAAGUAAAGAAAAUCAGGUCUCGUGUGGCAGUAUGCCAAGGCCUAGCCACAUCAAUUCUGAGAGGUUGUCACCACACCUUAGCUUAGAUGGCUGAAGUAGCUUUUAAAACAUAGUUUCCAGAAAGUUGAGACGAAAAAUCCCACACUAAACAAAUAUUUUAACUUGGAGAGAAAAAGAUUGCCCUCUAAGGUGUACCUGGAGUGUGUGGAGGAAGGAAUACUAAUACCACAAUACUCCAAAAACAAACAACACAGAGCUUGAGAAACAAAUAUUGUGCUUUACCAAAUAGACAAAAGAUCUUGGGCGCAUUCCAGAAGGACAAGGGAUACCGUAGAUUAGUACGAGGAACCAGACAGACUGCCCGCACAGCUCAGAACCACUUUCGGGAGUAUGCCUACACACACGACUUACUGAGCAGACCAGUGAAGACAUGUCAACAUACAGGCUGGUUCUUCUGCACAGGUGUGGUGAGUGGGGAGACUAAAGAGACCUUUCCCACUGUGUUUCAGGGCAUGGGGCACAGGCGUGACACCAUCAGGAGACUGAAGGAGGGAGCCUAGCUAAAUGACCUUCUCCAAGUCCCUGAAUCUUCUGAGCCCCAGUUUCUAUGUCUUACAAAAUUAGUCUGAUAGUAUCAAAGAAACAUCCUAAGGAAGAAGAUGUGAAAGGGCAUUAGAGAAAGUGCUGUGUAGAAAUAAAUAAUCCCAUGCUUACUAGUACGAGAGCUGGGACAGACACUCACAUUUGCUUGGAAAAUCCUGUGUUCCUAAAUCAGCCCCAUAAACUAGCAUGAAAGGAAGUCCUUAAGUAAAUUUAGACUACAAACAGCUUGUACAUACCCUUAAGCACUACAAAAGCAUCCCUGUCUUAUGACUAAUACGUAAAGCCAUUCUUGUUUAACUGAAGGCAAUCUAAGGGUGCCUUCUCUCAUGGCAGUACCACUUGAGCCCAACUUUAGCUGGAGCAUAACCUUGAAAGGAGCAUAACGUUGAAAGUAACAUAUGGAUUGAUAUAAUUGAGGCUGGCCUCCCGCCAAUUGGUAAAAAUUAGCCAACUUUUUCUUGAGCAAGUUAAAAAAAAUCUACUUUGUAUUUGAGCUCCAAUUUAUCAUUGUAAUUGAUAUUCUGAAAACAAGUGCAUAGCUAGAAAUAAUAGUGCCAUUUGCAUAGUCUAGAAAUUGAACCCAGCUAAAGCCCAGUGUCUGAUAAACUAGCAAAUUAAAAGCAGUGCUUUGAUCUAGUUAUGGAGCAUCAGUAGCUGCUAAGAUUACAAAAAGAGAGACAAUAUGGGCUCCUUUUGUGAUGGAAAAGCAAACAAUACCUUUAAUGUAGUUUUAUAAAAAAAAAUCUGAUCUGAAUAUGAUCAAGGCUCUAAAUCCAAUUACCAAUUAACAGGAAAUGUAUGUGGAGGAAUAUGUUAAAAGACAUCAUGGGAAUGCAAUCAGUAAAAUCCAGAAUGUUGGAAACUGUACAAACAUUUCAGGUUUUGUUCAACAAAACAGGAUGGAAAGAAAAAGAGAGAGAGAGUGAAGGGUAAAGGAUUGACUUAAUUACUUAUUAAAUAAAGGUAGGAAGACACACUGACCAAUAUAAACAUGCUUACUUUGAGUCCUGAUUCAAAAUGCAUAAACGGUUUUUAAAAUGCGUGAUUUUGAUUUUUGACCAUGAAGAAGAAACUGGUAUAGGAUUUUCUUCCCCUCCAAAACUAAAAGAUAAUUAUACAAAAAUGUUUAAAAACAUCUUUUUCAGACACAGGAUAUCAAACAAUGUAAGACUAUGAUCCUGAGAAAAGAAAGCAAAGGAGCUGAGUUUUACAACUGUCCUGGAUUUCUGCCUGACAGCGACUUUUAAACAGCAUGAAAGGGACAGGGGAGGCCAGGAAAAGCACCACAAUCUCCCUGAGUUGAAGAGAAACAGAUCAGGCUUUGGAGAGGCUGAUCCAGCUGGAAUUGGUAGAGCCAAGUUCAGAGACAAGUGAAUUGUGCAAAGAAAGAGUUACGGAGAUCUACAGAGGUGGCCCCUUGAGUCAUUGGCUGAAUAUUAAUCUGUACAUUCAUAGGGGGAAGAUCCACAAGGCUAGAUAAAGAACGGAAGAACUAUAAUCAAAACCAUUCCCAGACUUGCACAAGGCUGAGAGGCAUGCAAAUUCUAACGAGCCAGAGCAGAUACACCUUCUGGAACACUCAGAGCAAUAUGUAGAGAUUUCAGAAGGAUCAAACCUUAGUACUAGAGCUAACUUAGCCCUGAAGAACAGCCUAUUCUAGAAUUGUUCUAAAAAGGCUUUAAAGCAAGUCUAGUAAAGAUUAAUCAGUAAACAUAUAACUUACAUAUAACUUACCUGUCUGCCAAAACAAAUUUCAGAAUUUUUUAAGGAAGACAACUGUAUCUAAAUACUAAACAACAGAAACUCAUGAUGUCCUGCAUCCAACAAAAAAUUAUUAGACAUGCAAAAAAUCACCAAAUUAUGACCCAUAGCAAAAGGAAAAAUCAGUCAAAAGAAACAGAGAUAAAUAACAGAGAUGCUGGGAACAGCAGAAAAUGAUUUUAUUAUUAUUAUUUUUUUUUUUUUUUUGAGAUGGAGUCUCGCUCUGUCGCCCAGGCUGGAGUGCAGUGGUGCGAUCUCAGCUCACUGCAACCUCCACCUCCCGGGUUCAAGCGAUUCUUCUGCCUCAGCCUCCUGAGAAGCUAGGAUUGCAGGCGUGUGCCACCACACUUGGCUAAUUUUUGUAUUUUUAGUAGAGAUGGGAUUUCACCAUAUUCGUCAGGCUGGCCUUAAACUCCUGAUCUCGUGAUCCGCCCACCUCAGCCUCCCAAAGUGCUGGGAUUACAGGCAUGAGCCACCACGCCCAGCCUAAAAUGGAAAUUCUAGAAAAGAAAAAUACAAGUUCUGCAGGGAAAAAUUCAUUGUACAAUCAUAACAGUUGAUCAGAUGCUACAAAAGAAAGAUCAGUGAACACAAAGACACUAUAGUAGAAAAUAUUCAACUAAUGAGCAGAGAGGAGAAAAGACAAAAACAAAAACAGAAACUCAGUGACCUGUGGCAUGAUAUCCAUCAGUCAAACAUACAUGUAAUUGGAGCCCAAGAAGAUAGAAGGUGGCAAAAAAAAUUUUUUUGAUGAAAUCGUGACUGAAAAUUUGCCAUUUCUGAUGCAAACGAUAAACCCACAGAUCCAAGAAGCUCAAUGAUACCCAAGAUAGAUAAACACAAAUAACAUCAUAAUCAAAUUGCUAAAAAUUAUUUAUAAGCAGGAAAAGUUUUAAGUGGCUAUAUAUAUAAAUAUAAAAUAACAUGUAUAUUUUAUAUAUAUGUACACACGCACACACAUACAGGUAUAUUUGUGAUAUAUAAUGUAACAAAAAGCACAUUCACUGUUGCCUGGGGCUAAGGAUGGGGCAGGGAGGUAGAAUUGACUACAGGAAGAUGAGGCAGCUUUUUGUGGAAUCAAAAUAUUCUCUUUGAUUAUGAUGGUGGUUAUAGGUGUGUACACCCUUGUCAAAGCUCAUUUAAAUGUACUCUUAAAAUAGGCAGAUCUUAUUGUGUGUAAGACAUACCUUAACAAAAUUGAUUUUUAAACCAUAUGACAUUUUUGGGAUAAGUGAUAAUUUGAACAUGCACUGAGUAUUGGAUGACAUUUAAAAAUUACUGUUAAUUUUAUAGGUACGAAUGUGUUAUUGUGGUUAUGUUUGAUUCUUAUUGUGAGAAGUGCAUAGUAAAAAAGUUACAGAUAAAAUUAUACGAUGUCUGAUAUUGGUCUUUUAAAAAUGUAGGCAGCAGGGGAAAGAGAAGAUAAAGCAAUGUUGGUCAUCAGUUGAUAAUUGUUGAAGCUGGAUAUUGAGUACACGGGAACCCACUGAACUAUUUUAUCUACUUUUAUGACAACUUGAAACUUUCCAACAUAAAAAAUUCUUUUACAUGCUUUAAACAUAUGAACUAUGUGGUAAAUUAUUCAACUAAAAAUGUAAACUGAGUAACUUUUUUAAGUGACAGAGGCUACAGGACAUAUACAAGCAAAAAGAAUGAUCUCUACCAUCAUGGAACUCAUGAUCUAUGAAAUGCCAAGUAAUAAAAAAAAUUAUAUGAUAAGAGUAGAUGAGACCUUUUAUGAGUUGGGAUUAGGUUCCAAGAGAAUUAAACUCCACAAUAACAGAGAUUUAGACAAGAUCGAGGUUUCUUUGUCUCUAAGAUAAAAAUCUGGAAAUAGGCCAUCAGAACUGGAAGCACUGUCAGAGCCAUCAAAGCUGGCAGAAUCCAACCUGCAACAAUGCAGUUCACAAUCAUUAACUCAUUUAACCUUUUGCCAGCCCAGUAAAGGAGGUACUGCCCAAGGUCAAAUCUAAAUGUGAGGAUUUGAUUCUGGAUCUGAAACAUUUUCCAUGAAAAGAAUUAUAACAUCCUCAUAUUUUUCCUUAUUGCUUCACUAUCAAUACUCAGUUUAAUUUCACCAAGAUUAAAGAAUUAGAUAGAGGCUUUGUGGAAAUUCUGAAUUUUUGAACACUCUUAAAUACACCAUUAUUCUUCAUUAAGUCCAAUUGCAUAUCAUAAUUUGCACAUUCUUCUCUAUUAAUGUAGUAUCACUAGCACUAGUCUAAUAUUUAUUAACCAAGAUUAGGAUAAUUUUCCAGCUCAAAGAAAAUUAUCUAGCUCAAAAAACAAUAGAGCUUAAACAAAAAUGAAAGGGAAGAAAAAUAAUUCAAACUCCCUGAUAGGGAAUUUUUAAAUGGUAAAACCAUUGAUUGAUUACGAUCAUUCCCUGAGAGGGCAUAUUGGUUCAACAAAGAAUAGCUUGAUUAUAAUCUGGCCUGACAACAAAGUUGGCCUCACAGACUGUAAGUGAAUUGUAAAGGCAAUGUAAAAAAAAAAAAAAAAAAAAAAAAACUUAACAUGUAAAGGACUUUGAAAGUUAAGGUUGUAAACUUGAGAUGCAAUUCUAUUUGUAUAUGAAAGUAAUAGUAACACAGAUAGAUGUCUACAUUCCUAUAGCUUGGAAAUAACUUGGCAAAGAAGUUAUAGGAAUUUCACUAAGCUCAAAAGGCAGAAUUACAGCAAAAUAUUGUCAGUAUUAUGUAAGACAGGUUAUUUUCAUUUUUGCAAGCAAAUAUAAUGCUAAUUCAGUCUGCCUUGCCAGCAUGGAUUCUGAGCAUUACACUCAGUGUUAAAAUUCUGCCCAUUUAGUGAUGUAGCCUUAUAUAAUUCUGUCAACCCUUUCCAGGUAGUCAGAGUGUACCAACAGAUUGGUGUACAGUCUACUUCAGGUAGUAAUACAACCUCCAUCCUUGAAGGUUGAGUUAAUUACAAAGUAGCUAACAACUUCUUGAAAGACAAUCACAAGUCUUCUCCAGGCUAAAUUUGAACCCUAAAGUCCAAAGCUCACAGGAUCAUUUAUGAAAGGGAUAAAGGAGACCUCAGAACAGGAAUAUUUGGGCUUAGCAUCAGAAUUUGCCAAAGAACUAAUUAGGAAUAGUGUAGAACUCAGAUUUCAAGCCAUGCUUAGAAAGCCAUGCCCUAAUAUUUUUAACACAUAGACCAUAAGUUUAUUUUUUAUUUAUUGGACCUCUAAAACUAGAGUGCCUAUAGAAUUUAUUGUCCCAGGAUGCUUUUAAAAGGGGAAGGGGACCAUCUUAAUAAUGGCACAGAGGAAACAUGUGGACAUUGUUCUGAGCAACUGAGAUGUAUGGUCAGAUCAUCUAAAACCAUAGCAUGCACUAUGAUCAAGGUGGAUUUAUUCCAGGGAUGCAAGGAUGGUUCAAUAUAUUCAAAUCAAUGAAUAUGAUUCACCAAAUAAACAGAAUUAAAAACAAAAACCAUAUGAUCAUCUCAACAGAUGCAGAAGAGCAUUUGAUAAAAUUCGGAAUCCCUUCAUGAUAAAAACUCUCAACAAACUAGGCAUAGAACAACAAAACAACAAAAGCCAUAUAUGACAAACCCAUGGCCAACAUCAUAUUGAAUGGGGAAAAUUUGAAAGUAUUUCCCCUAAGAAUUAAAACAAGACAAGGAUGCCCAUUUUUGCCACUUCUAUUCAACAAAGCAUUGGAAGUUCUACCCAGAAAAUCAGGCACUAGAAAGAAAUAAAAGGCAUCCAAAUUGGAAAAGAGGAUGUCAAAUUAUCUCUGUUUGCUGAUGAUAUUAUCUUAUACUUAGAAAACCCUAAAGACUCCUCCAACUAUCACUAGAUUUGAUAAAUGAAUUCAGUCAAGUUUCAGGAUACAAAAUCAACAUACAAAAAUCAGUAGCAUUUCUAUACACCAGUAAUGACCAAGCUGAGAACCAAAUCAAGGACUCAACCCCAUUUACGACAGCUACAAAAAUAAUUAAAAAAUAAAAUAAAAUACUUAGGAAUACAUUUAAUGAAGGAGAUAAAAGGUCUCUACGAAGAAAAUUAUAAAACAUUGAUAAAAGAAAUUGUAGAUGACACAAAUGUUUGUGUCAUCUAUAUCCCAUGCUCAUGGAUUGGAGGGAUCAAUAUUGUUAAGAAGACCAUACUGCCCAAUGCGAUCUAUAGAUUCAGUGCAAAUCCUAUCAAAAUAUCAACAUCAUUUUUUACAAAAUUGGAAAAAAAAAUGCUAAAAUUCAUAUGGGACCAAAGAGCCCAAAUAACCAAAGCAAUCCUAAGCAAAAAGAACAAAUCUAGAGGCAUCACAUUAUCUAACUUCAAAUUAUACUACAAGGCUAUAGUGACCAAAACAGUAUGGUACUGGUUUAAAAACAGAUAUAUACAUCAAUGGAAUGGAAUAAAAAACCCAGAAAUGAAGCCACAUACCUAGAGCCAACUGAUCUUCCACAAAGGCAGCAAGAACAUACAAUGGGGAAAGGACAUCCUGUUCAAUAAAUGAUGCUGGGUGCUGGAAAACUUGCAUAGCCAUAUGCAUAAGUAUAGGAGCUAUAUCUCUCACCAUAUCCAAAAAUCAACUCAAAAUGGAUUAAAGACUUAAAUGUAAGAUCUGAAACUAUAAGAACUAUAGAAGAAAACCUAAGAAAAACUCUUUUUCUUUAAAGAGAUGGAGUCUCUCUCUCACACCCAGGCUGAAGUGCAGUGGCACAAACAUGGUUCACUGCAACCUCAACUCCCUGGACUCAAGCGAUUAUCUUGCCUCAGCCUCUUGAGUAGCUAGAACUACAGGUGCACACCACCAUGCCUGGCUAAUUUUUAAAAUUUUUUUGUAGAGACAGGGUAUCACUAUGCUGCCUAGGCUGCUCUUGAACUCCUGGGCUCAAGCAAUCCUCCCACCUCAGCCUCCCAAAGUGCUGGGAUUACAGGCAAGAGCCACUACACCUGGCCAAAAAACUCUGUUGAAUAUUGGCUUAGGCAAAGAAUUCACGACUAAUACUUCAAAAGCAAAUGUAACAGAAACAAAAAUAGAGAAAUAGGACUUAAUUAAACCUAAAAAGCUUCUGCACAGGAAAAGACAUAAUCAACAGAGUAAGUAGACCACCUGCAGAAUGGGAGAAAAUAUUGGCUAACCAUGAAUCCAACAAAGGACUAAUAUCUAGAACCCAUAGAGAACUCAAACAAUUCAACAAGUAAAAAACAAAUAACCUCAUUAAAAAGUGGACAAAGGACACGAACAGUUUUCAAAAGAAGACACAUAAAUAGCCAAUAAGCAUAUUUUAAAAAUGCUCAGCAUCACUAAUCAUCAGACAUAAGAUGAAUUAAAACUACAAUGAG
rnacentral:lncRNA from 1 species